rnacentral:lncRNA from 1 species
GCUGGGAUAAACAUAAAUUAUUUCAGAAUAAAUAUAAACUAUAUAUAAUAAACAAAAAAUUUUUAAAUUAAAUAUGAAGUUUGUGGCAAUAGACAAAAAUCAUCUAGAAUAAAUACAAAUUCAACUCCUAAAAAUCACUGAAUUUUUAUUUAUUCUAAGUGGUUUAUGUUUAUUUCCAUAGAAUUUAUGUUUAUGAUAUGA